rnacentral:rRNA from 1 species
GGUUAAGCGACUAAGCGUACACGGUGGAUGCCCUGGCAGUCAGAGGCGAUGAAGGACGUGCUAAUCUGCGAAAAGCGUCGGUAAGGUGAUAUGAACCGUUAUAACCGGCGAUGUCCGAAUGGGGAAACCCAGUGCAAUUCGUUGCACUAUCGUUAACUGAAUACAUAGGUUAACGAGGCGAACCGGGGGAACUGAAACAUCUAAGUACCCCGAGGAAAAGAAAUCAACCGAGAUUCCCCCAGUAGCGGCGAGCGAACGGGGAGCAGCCCAGAGUCUGAAUCAGCUUGUGUGUUAGUGGAACGGUCUGGAAAGUCCGACGGUACAGGGUGAUAGUCCCGUACACCAAAAUGCACAGGCUGUGAACUCGAAGAGUAGGGCGGGACACGUGGUAUCCUGUCUGAAUAUGGGGGGACCAUCCUCCAAGGCUAAAUACUCCUGACUGACCGAUAGUGAACCAGUACCGUGAGGGAAAGGCGAAAAGAACCCCGGCGAGGGGAGUGAAAAAGAACCUGAAACCGUGUACGUACAAGCAGUGGGAGCACCUUCGGGUGUGACUGCGUACCUUUUGUAUAAUGGGUCAGCGACUUAUAUUCUGUAGCAAGGUUAACCGUAUAGGGGAGCCGCAGGGAAACCGAGUCUUAACUGGGCGUUAAGUUGCAGGGUAUAGACCCGAAACCCGGUGAUCUAGCCAUGGGCAGGUUGAAGGUUGGGUAACACUAACUGGAGGACCGAACCGACUAAUGUUGAAAAAUUAGCGGAUGACUUGUGGCUGGGGGUGAAAGGCCAAUCAAACCGGGAGAUAGCUGGUUCUCCCCGAAAGCUAUUUAGGUAGCGCCUCGUGAACUCAUCUUCGGGGGUAGAGCACUGUUUCGGCUAGGGGGUCAUCCCGACUUACCAACCCGAUGCAAACUACGAAUACCGAAGAAUGUUAUCACGGGAGACACACGGCGGGUGCUAACGUCCGUCGUGAAGAGGGAAACAACCCAGACCGCCAGCUAAGGUCCCAAAGUCAUGGUUAAGUGGGAAACGAUGUGGGAAGGCACAGACAGCCAGGAUGUUGGCUUAGAAGCAGCCAUCAUUUAAAGAAAGCGUAAUAGCUCACUGGUCGAGUCGGCCUGCGCGGAAGAUGUAACGGGGCUAAACCAUGCACCGAAGCUGCGGCAGCGACACUAUGUGUUGUUGGGUAGGGGAGCGUUCUGUAAGCCUGCGAAGGUGUGCUGUGAGGCAUGCUGGAGGUAUCAGAAGUGCGAAUGCUGACAUAAGUAACGAUAAAGCGGGUGAAAAGCCCGCUCGCCGGAAGACCAAGGGUUCCUGUCCAACGUUAAUCGGGGCAGGGUGAGUCGACCCCUAAGGCGAGGCCGAAAGGCGUAGUCGAUGGGAAACAGGUUAAUAUUCCUGUACUUGGUGUUACUGCGAAGGGGGGACGGAGAAGGCUAUGUUAGCCGGGCGACGGUUGUCCCGGUUUAAGCAUGUAGGCUGGUUGUCCAGGCAAAUCCGGAUAAUCAAGGCUGAGGUGUGAUGACGAGGCACUACGGUGCUGAAGUAACAAAUGCCCUGCUUCCAGGAAAAGCCUCUAAGCAUCAGGUAACAUCAAAUCGUACCCCAAACCGACACAGGUGGUCAGGUAGAGAAUACCAAGGCGCUUGAGAGAACUCGGGUGAAGGAACUAGGCAAAAUGGUGCCGUAACUUCGGGAGAAGGCACGCUGGUGUGUAGGUGAAGUCCCUGCGGAUGGAGCUGAGACCAGUCGAAGAUACCAGCUGGCUGCAACUGUUUAUUAAAAACACAGCACUGUGCAAACACGAAAGUGGACGUAUACGGUGUGACGCCUGCCCGGUGCCGGAAGGUUAAUUGAUGGGGUUAUCCGUAAGGAGAAGCUCUUGAUCGAAGCCCCGGUAAACGGCGGCCGUAACUAUAACGGUCCUAAGGUAGCGAAAUUCCUUGUCGGGUAAGUUCCGACCUGCACGAAUGGCGUAAUGAUGGCCAGGCUGUCUCCACCCGAGACUCAGUGAAAUUGAACUCGCUGUGAAGAUGCAGUGUACCCGCGGCAAGACGGAAAGACCCCGUGAACCUUUACUAUAGCUUGACACUGAACAUUGAGCCUUGAUGUGUAGGAUAGGUGGGAGGCUUUGAAGCGUGGACGCCAGUCUGCGUGGAGCCAACCUUGAAAUACCACCCUUUAAUGUUUGAUGUUCUAACGUUGGCCCCUGACCGGGGUUGCGGACAGUGUCUGGUGGGUAGUUUGACUGGGGCGGUCUCCUCCCAAAGCGUAACGGAGGAGCACGAAGGUUAGCUAAUCCUGGUCGGACAUCAGGAGGUUAGUGCAAUGGCAUAAGCUAGCUUGACUGCGAGCGUGACGGCGCGAGCAGGUGCGAAAGCAGGUCAUAGUGAUCCGGUGGUUCUGAAUGGAAGGGCCAUCGCUCAACGGAUAAAAGGUACUCCGGGGAUAACAGGCUGAUACCGCCCAAGAGUUCAUAUCGACGGCGGUGUUUGGCACCUCGAUGUCGGCUCAUCACAUCCUGGGGCUGAAGUAGGUCCCAAGGGUAUGGCUGUUCGCCAUUUAAAGUGGUACGCGAGCUGGGUUUAGAACGUCGUGAGACAGUUCGGUCCCUAUCUGCCGUGGGCGCUGGAGAAUUGAGGGGGGCUGCUCCUAGUACGAGAGGACCGGAGUGGACGCAUCACUGGUGUUCGGGUUGUCAUGCCAAUGGCACUGCCCGGUAGCUAAAUGCGGAAGAGAUAAGUGCUGAAAGCAUCUAAGCACGAAACUUGCCCCGAGAUGAGUUCUCCCUGAGACUUUAAGUCUCCUGAAGGAACGUUGAAGACGACGACGUUGAUAGGCCGGGUGUGUAAGCGCAGCGAUGCGUUGAGCUAACCGGUACUAAUGAACCGUGAGGCUUAACCUU